GCACCACUAGCUCAGUUGGUAGAGCACCUGACUCUUAAUCAGGGUGUCCAGGGUUCGAGCCCCUGGUGGUGCA
rnacentral:tRNA from 1 species